rnacentral:sRNA from 1 species
UAAAGAUAUAAGCGGAAAUGGCAGUAGAAAUUGAUUUUAAGGAAGCUAGAGUUAUGAAUGGUUUAAAAUUUGAAAAUAAGAUCGAUUGUGCUUCUCAAUCGGAUUUUCUAUUAGUUCUUGUAACAAUUGCGCGAUACAACUGUGUAAGACUUAAUUUUUAUUUGCGCGGUAGCGUGUCAUUAUAACAGAUUUUCGUACUUAAUAUGGCUAUGAUAUAUUCAUUCUAAUCUACCACCCCAUUAUCCGGCAGAUUCCACACCCGCGGGAACGGCCCGCGAUGUGGAGGCCUCCAGCCUGGCUAGGAAGCAGGUGAACCGCCGCAGCGGUACCGGCGGUCAUCCAGUGGUCACAGACGGAGUGCCCUGGUGUACAGAACUCCACAGGCUUGAAAUGGCAGGGGAUGAAGGAACUAACGAGAAGACCAUAAAUAACCGGCACAUGAUGAUCAAGCUCCGCUCGGAGCAUUCACAAGGGCCAGUUCGUGGUGUGAUCGUCUAGAUAGCAAGGUUCUUCAACGGCAGGAUGGCCUAGGUGAAUAUUGUGCGCACCAAGGGAAUCGAAAGCAGAAUUCAGGUUCAUUACCGGUGGUAUUGUUGCGAGGUUGGAUGUUACCACCAGGCAAAGUCAUAACUUGAACCAUGAAACGGCGACGGCGGUUUGACCAUGGGAAACCGUAUAUGUUGACUAAACAUGCAAGGUAGGAUGCUAUUUCUGGUGCCAGGACGCGUGGCUUUGCUGACUAGCAGUCAGUUACGUGCUGUAGGAGUUUGGAGUUUAUAAGUUAUCCUUAAGGUAUCAACUACCUAACCCCAACCACCAGACGGGGGAUACCGGAGCCACGUCAAAGGAAGUCCUGCGGCUCCUGCACAGCGAAUCUUAUUUUUCACUAUAAAAUUUUAAACAAUUCUUUUGAUAAAAGAAAUAUUUAUUAGAAAAAGUAAAAAUAAAAAUAAAAUAGGUAAAACGGUUAAUAAAGUAGUUAAUAUUAGUACAGAUAUAUAAAUAUUAAAUAUUUAUAAAAACCUUAAGGAAUCGGUUAUAUAACGGUAUUUAUCAUGCAUUUGCACAAUUUUUAUUCUAUUUAUUAUUCGACUUUUUAUUCCAAUAUAUAUAAUGUAUAAUAAGUUAAUUAUAUAACCUUUUGCUUAUACGGUGCGCGUACAAUACAAAUAUUUAGCAAAUUUGUGCGUUAAAGACGAAAAUCGACGAAAUGUCCUCAAAUUAGAACGCGCGUUAUUUUUUCGACCGAUUUAAUUAGUCGAAAAACACAUGUGGCUGGUAAGGUAUAUGGGCGCUCGGUCCACCUUGCGUAGCAAAGGGGUUUAAUCUGAGGACUGAGAUUAUGCGUAGCCGGUGUUUAGGUUAAACACUGAGAUUAAACGCUAUAUGGCUGGUAAAAGUAUAUGGAACGCUCGGUCCCGUGCGCAGCCGGGGUUUAGGCUAAGCAUUAAAAUUAACUGUUGAUAGGCCUUUUGUAAAUUAAUCGAUCAACAAAACGUUAUUACGGGUAAAAGGUAAUAUAUUCUUAUCUGACGACUAUUUUAUCUACGUUCGAGUUUCUAAUCGUCUUUCCUUCUUAUCCCGUGGUAUAGGACCUGAUGAGUUACGUGCGGGUCACGUGGGGCACCGCACGUAAGUUAUCAAUUAAAUUGAUAAAUUGAACGCGUUCCUCUCUAUUCCAACAUUACCCCUUGAUAUAUCAACCCGCCCACGGGUAGCCCGCCCCACCUAUUUGGGCCAACGCGGGCACCUAUAAGUGGGUUUUGGAAUACCUUAUCCGCAACUAUGUAACUAUUCGCGUUCGCAAUCCCCGGUGUUUGCGUCCACUUCAUGACAUUCCUAUUUACUAUUAGUAUAAUAUAAUUAUAAAGGUGCCUAAUUUACUUACUUCUAUCCACGAUUUGAGCGAGAAGCUGUUUUUGCAGUAAAUCAUGCCGUUACAUUCGAAAAGCUUAUUACUAUCAGGACAAGCCUCCUCGGUCAUAGUGUUGUGAUUUCGACCAUAUUUAUCGAUACACCUGCGCCAUUAGUAUAAUUCGUUCUUUAAUCUAAGGGAUACAUAUCACACUUACCAACAGUUGUUAUCAGCUUUCACUCCCAUAAAAAAGUAAAGAGCGAAAGGGACAAUUGAGGCUUUCAUGUUUAAUUUGUAAAGCAAAGGUGAAUAUCAAAUUCAGAUUUAGAGAAUGUUAUAUACAGUUUGAGGGAAUUGAAGAAAGUGGCGUAAUAAAAGCAAGUGUAAAUACCCAUUACCAAAGGAAUGCAACCGGUUUUAUAAUUGUUCGGACUUAACAAACUAAUAUAAAUUUAAAUUGGGGCAAAUUUCCACAAAAUAUUUUAUUAUUACCAAUAUAUAAUGCAAGAAUUAUUCUAGUUUAUUAUUUCAAUUAAUUGGCCCAGAAAUUAAAUUGAAUUUUUAAAUAUAAUAUAAUACUAAUUUCAAAAUUUACACCCGAAACCCGAAGGUAUAUAAUUUUAACCACGACGUUGUUAUUAAAUUUGUAGCUUUUUUCAUACCUCUGGGCCGGAAAUUAAAGCUUUCCCCGUACAGGUUUACAGCGGCCAUGCCGAUUAUAACCUUCGGGUAUAUAAUAUAAUAAUAAGGGGAAGGGUUUCUCCUACAUUAUUAUUGUUUAAUAUUGUGGGGUUUACAAAUGUGCAAAUAUAUAAUAAUAAAACUAAUAUCUUUUAUAUUUUUCUUAACUUACUGGGAUAUAAUUAAUAUAUUAUCAAAUGAAUAUAUUAUUCUCGUUGCUGGAAUAAAGAGGAUUGCGAUCAAUUUAUUAAUUUAAUCGAUAACUUGCGUAGGGUGCCUCACAGGACCCGCACGUGACUUAUCCAGUCCUCGACCACGGGUAUAAAAGGGAAAAAACAAUUAGAAGCUCGAACGUAAAUAAAAUAAUCGUUAGGUAAGAAUAUACUACCUUUUUACCCAUAAUAACGUUUUGUUAAUCGAUCGAUCUACGGAAGGCCUAUUAACACUCGUAUUAUAUUAUUAUUUAUUUUAAUAGUUUAAGGUGGAUCUAGCGACAGCAGUUGGCAUUUGAAGGAUUUAGCGAAGGACUUGGCGUUCGGUUUUCGUAGGAGUUAAUAAUUUAUAAUUAAUAUGUUUAUUUAAUUAUAUUUUAUUUAAUAAUAAGACUUAAUUAUUAUUACGAUCAAGGUAUCGGGGUAACCUGUUCUUAGGGUAAAAUA